UACGUAGGGGGCUAGCGUUGUCCGGAAUCAUUGGGCGUAAAGCGCGUGUAGGCGGCUCGAUAAGUCUGCUGUGAAAGCCCAGGGCUCAACCCUGGAAUGCCGGUGGAUACUGUCGAGCUAGAGUCCGGAAGAGGCGAGUGGAAUUCCUGGUGUAGCGGUGGAAUGCGCAGAUAUCAGGAGGAACACCAAUAGCGAAGGCAGCUCGCUGGGACGUUACUGACACUGAGGCGCGAAAGCGUGGGGAGCGAACAGG
rnacentral:rRNA from 1 species